rnacentral:rRNA from 1 species
CCUACGGGAGGCAGCAGUAAGGAAUAUUGGUCAAUGGAGGCAACUCUGAACCAGCCAUGCCGCGUGCAGGAAGACAGCCCUAUGGGUCGUAAACUGCUUUUAUACGGGAAUAAACUUUGAUUCGUGAAUCAAGCUGAAUGUACCGUAAGAAUAAGGAUCGGCUAACUCCGUGCCAGCAGCCGCGGUAAUACGGAGGAUCCAAGCGUUAUCCGGAUUUAUUGGGUUUAAAGGGAGCGUAGGCGGCCUAUUAAGUCAGGGGUGAAAGACGGUGGCUCAACCAUCGCAGUACCUUUGAUACUGAUGGGCUUGAAUAUAGUUGAGGUAGGCGGAAUGUGACAAGUAGCGGUGAAAUGCAUAGAUAUGUCACAGAACACCGAUUGCGAAGGCAGCUUACUAAGCUAUGAUUGACGCUGAGGCUCGAAAGCGUGGGGAUCAAACAGGAUUAGAUACCCUGGUAGUCCACGCCCUAAACGAUGAUAACUCGAUGUUGGCGAUAUACAGUCAGCGUCCAAGCGAAAGCGUUAAGUUAUCCACCUGGGAGUACGCCCGCAAGGGUGAAACGUCGAAAUGAAAUUGAGGCGNGAGACGNGCGAGGACGACGACGAGGGAGGAGG